rnacentral:rRNA from 1 species
CGAUCCGUAGCUGGUCUGAGAGGAUGAUCAGCCACACUGGGACUGAGACACGGCCCAGACUCCUACGGGAGGCAGCAGUGGGGAAUCUUGCACAAUGGGCGCAAGCCUGAUGCAGCCAUGCCGCGUGAGUGAAGAAGGCCUUAGGGUUGUAAAACUCUUUCAGCGGGGAAGAUAAUGACGGUACCCGCAGAAGUAGCCCCGGC